GAAAGCAGCAUUCAGAGAGGUGCCCAGAGGUGCACAAUGCCAGAGGAUCACAUACGUGCAUUACGUUUUGAGGCAAGCUUGCUAUUGUUAGCAGGUGGAUCCACUGAUGAGGCAGGGAAAUUACAGAGCAAGAGAGGCAAAACCAGAAGAUCCGAAAGAGAGAGAACAUGUUCAGCAAGAGAUGGGUUUACUAUGUGUGUGAAGUAGGGGGAACUAAGAUCUGAAGGACUGCAGGAGGAAUACAGAUAAGGAAGUUCCUUCACCUCUGUAUUAAAUUUCUUCCAUACUUAAGAUUCUGUUGCAUCAUAAGAUUGCGGGGAGGAGUUACUCCCUUAUUAUUCUUUGGAGAAGCUCAGAACCAUCAGAUAAACUGCUUUCUUGUCUUCCUAUGAAAAUCUCAGUACUGUUGUAGCAGGAGCUAUAGUUCAAUGCGCACAGUUCCCUCUGGAAAUGCCUGUCAGGUCUUCAGUGAUUGGCAAACAGAGAUUAAACUGCCACAGUGCCUUUGUAUUUGGAGUUCUGGGGGGAAUGUGCACACAGAGAUAAUAAAGAAACAUGCUGUA